UAGGUUGAUGCUCGCUGGUUUGAGCGGCUAGCUGUUAACUAGUUUUUGUGGGAUCGAGGCCCACCGGUCUUG
rnacentral:tRNA from 1 species